UCGUCUAUAUACGUAUAGCAUAUCAAUAAGCGGAGGAAAAGAAACUAACUAGGAUUCCCUCAGUAACGGCGAGUGAAGCGGGAAGAGCUCAAAUUUGAAAUCUUCAAGGUUUUACCUUGACGAAUUGUAGUUUAAAGAAGUGUUUUCUGUUGGAAUUUUGGUAAAAGUUCUUUGGAAAAGGACAUCAUAGAGGGUGAGAAUCCCGUAUUUGACCAUUAUCUCCAGCUUUGUGAUACACUUUCAAAGAGUCGGAUUGUUUGGGAAUGCAGUCCAAAAUGGGUGGUAAAUUUCAUCUAAAGCUAAAUACUGGCGAGAGACCGAUAGCGAACAAGUACCGUGAGGGAAAGAUGAAAAGAACUUUGAAAAGAGAGUUAAACAGUACGUGAAAUUGUCAAAAGGGAGGCGUUUGACACCAGUGUUGUUUUUCCGAAAAUCAAUUACGAAUGUUUUGUUUUUGAGGAGUUAUGACUUCAUCGGCUUGCUCCUUUCUUUACGAAACUUUCUUAAUGCACUUUUCGGUUAACAAGUCAACAUCAAUUUCUUUUGUUGUAAAAGGGUAUGAGGAAGGUGGCUUUCUUUUCGGAGAAAGUGUUUAUAGCCUUGUGCCUCUGCAAUCGGAGAGAUUGAGGUCUGCAGCGUAGAUCCUUCGGGGUUAGAUACGUUUGUGCUAAGUUAUAGCUUUUCAUAGACAACUUGUUGACUAUGUUUAGUCUUGUGGCUUACUCGCUUAUGCUAUUUUACCUACGCUUAGGAUGUUGACUGAUAUGUAGUCGUA
rnacentral:rRNA from 1 species